rnacentral:rRNA from 1 species
CGUAGGGGCGAGCGUUGUCCGGAUUUAUUGGGCGUAAAGAGCUCGUAGGCGGUUUGGCAAGUCGGGUGUGAAAACUCCGGGCUCAACUCGGAGACGCCACUCGAUACUGCUAUGACUCGAGUCCGGUAGGGGAGUGCGGAAUUCCUGGUGUAGCGGUGAAAUGCGCAGAUAUCAGGAGGAACACCGGUGGCGAAGGCGGCACUCUGGGCCGGUACUGACGCUGAGGAGCGAAAGCGUGGGGAGCGAACAGGAUUAGAUACCCUGGUAGUCCACGCCGUAAACGUUGGGCACUAGGUGUGGGGCUCGAUCGACGGGUUCCGUGCCGUAGCUAACGCAUUAAGUGCCCCGCCUGGGAAGUACGGCCGCAAGGCUA